rnacentral:rRNA from 1 species
AUUGAACGCUAGCGGGAUGCCUUACACAUGCAAGUCGAACGGAGUGGCGAACGGGUGAGAAAUGUAUCGGAACGUGCCCAGUAGCGGGGGAUAACUACGCGAAAGCGUAGCUAAUACCGCAUACUAUUGGAGCGGCCGAUAUCGAAUGAGCUAGUUGGUGGGGUAACGGCCCACCAAGGCGACGAUCCGUAGCUGGUUUGAGAGGACGACCAGCCACACGUGUACGGAGACACGGCCCAGACUCCGACGAGAGGCAGCAGUGGGGAAGUUGGGACAAUGGGGGAAACCCUGAUCCAGCCAGACCGCGUGUGAGAUGAAGGCCUUCGGGUUGUAAAGCACUUUUGGCAGGAAAGCGGUACCUGCAGAAUAAGCACCGGCUAACUACGUGCCAGCAGCCGCGGUAAUUC